UACGAAGGGUGCAAGCGUUGCUCGGAAUUAUUGGGCGUAAAGGGUAGGUAGGUGGUUACGUAUGUCUGGGGUGAAAUCCCUGAGCUCAACUCAGGAAGUGCCUUGGAAACGGCGUAACUAGAGUACUAGAGAGGUUCGUGGAAUUCCUGGUGUAGCGGUGAAAUGCGCAGAUAUCAGGAGGAACACCGGUGGCGAAGGCGGGUCUCUGGGCCGAUACUGACGCUGAGGAGCGAAAGCGUGGGGAGCGAACAGG
rnacentral:rRNA from 1 species